rnacentral:rRNA from 1 species
GGAAUAUUGGUCAAUGGGCGAGAGCCUGAACCAGCCAAGUAGCGUGCAGGAUGACGGCCCUAUGGGUUGUAAACUGCUUUUAUGCGGGGAUAAAGUGCACCACGUGUGGUGUUUUGUAGGUACCGCAUGAAUAAGGACCGGCUAAUGCCGUGCCAGCAGCCGCGGUAAUACGGAAGGUCCGGGCGUUAUCCGGAUUUAUUGGGUUUAAAGGGAGCGCAGGCGGGUUGUUAAGCGUGACGUGAAAUGUAGGGGCUCAACCUUUGAAUUGCGUCGCGAACUGGCGACCUUGAGUGGGUACGACGCGGACGGAAUUCGUGGUGUAGCGGUGAAAUGCUUAGAUAUCACGAAGAACUCCGAUUGCGAAGGCAGCCAACAAGGCCUUUACUGACGCUAAAGCUCGAAGGUGCGGGUAUCGAACA